rnacentral:tRNA from 1 species
UCCCUCAUAGCUAAGUUGGUAAAUCAUUUGCCUGCAAUGCAGGAGACCCAGGUUUGAUUCCUGGGUUGGGAA